ACGACCUUACUUGAACAGGAUAUGUUGUAUAGGCUUGUCACACUUUGUCCUUGAGUUUCAAGGAGACAACAGCCACAAUUUGGAUGAUAACCAAAGAUCACGUGACUAGAGCAUGACUACUGGCCUGUUGCUCCAACCUGUUCGGCCUCAGCUUGGGCGCAAUUUGGAUGGUCGCUUGAUUGUCUUGACAAGUA